GAGGAAAAAUUGUACACAGAAAUGAUUCCCACCAGCCUGUGUGCGGACGUGUGUGUGUGUGCGCGCUGUAGUAGUUCUGUCCUUGUGAGGCCCGACUUUAGAGGGAUUCGAGUGAGAUUGUUUUGGACUUUUUGCUGCGUCACACACGAGCAACACGAGGUGUGUCGGCUAGAAUGAGGUUAAGAGCAAAGCCGGGUUGAAGCAAUUAAAGUAGUUUGGGUUAAAGUAAAGUCAUUUAAUGUCAGUCACAGGUUGGUCCUCACAAGACUGAUCUGCACUGCGCGUGUGUGUGUGUGUGUUUUCCCUGUUGUGGAGGUGCAAAGCCAUUUGUUUUAGCUGAUGAUAAAGGCACCAGUACAUUUGGAGCGACAGAGUAGGGAAUUAUAAGAACGUGUGUGUGGAACUGGAAUUGGAACCGGCACGGCUCGGGCCCCGAGGAACGCACGCACACACACACACACACACACGCACAACUCAUACUAGUAACGCUGUGAUGUAGCUUCACCAGACAACUCAAACGCACUUAUCCUUUGUCUUUCUCUCCGACUGUGAUCGAUAGACGCACACACAUCCAGGCUGCCAUGUAAGCUCAGCUACGCCCCGUUUUAAAGAGGGAGAUUUCUGUGUCACACUCUAUGUGCCGGUGGAUGUUGACGGACAAGCAAGGCACAUAAGGGGAAGUGGAGUCCCACAUUUGAACUCCACACUUGAUGAAUAACGUCACGACAGGUAUCGGAGAUGCCCUGGAUCGGUAUUGGCCGUGAAACUGACCUUUCCGAGCGGAUCGGCCAGCUGUGACUGAUUCCACGCAGGACAUUUUUCAUCAAUGUGAAGAUCAUUUAUUUUUGUUAACCAUAGGUUACAUUUAUUCAAUCAAUCGACUGGUCGUAGUGCAAAGUCUCCCCUCCGCUGAAUGGCAGGUUCAUUUUUUUGUUGCCUUUCGGCUUUAAGCGUCACUUCAAUUGCAACUGCAAUUCCAUUCCCUUCGUCUCCUUUGAUUUUGAAACCAAACGUGCAUUUGCAUAGAUUUUUUUUUUUUUUUUUUUACAAAUGGCAGACAUCUUUUCCACUACAUGGGUGGAAAAACAGGAGAAGGAAAGGAAAGGUUUCUUGUAUUACCAGGGAGUUCUAGCAUUCAUAUAUUACAACAUAUAACAUGCAUAAUAUAGCAUGCAUUGCAUAAUUGAAAAGCGUUGUUACCCUCACCGAGAAAAUAUGUCACUAACAUAUUAAAGUUGCCCCUAACAUCAUGUUUGUAAACUUAAAUUGUCAUAAUACACAAUUACAGUUGAUGUGUACUUUCACACGUUAACUGUGUUUAAAAUCUGCAUCAUUCAAAACUAUUAGCAGGUUCUAAUUGGCCCACAUUUAACCCCGAACUUAUUUAGCAUUUGACAAAUAUAUGGAAUACCUAUUUGUGAGGUUUAUUAUGAUGCUAAUCAGAGACAUCAAUGAUUUCGCAGUUAAAAAACAAAUGUCCUAGUUUGUCGCCGUAUCCUCCCCUCAGCAUGUUUCCCCAUCUGCUCCUUUCGUUUUAUUGCACUCUCUCUCUUUUCUGCUUCACUCUCCUUUAAUUUAUUCCCAUCAUUUACAUCCAGGUCACUUUCACACAAACACCGUGUGUUUAUACCAGAGAUUCCCAGUGACCAUCAGUUACAGGACGUUAAAAUCAGGCAUGUAAAAGUUCCUUCGGUGGAUUUAACUUUUACUUCAAUGAUGUCAGAACAAAUGUGAAUUUCAUUUGAGACGGAAAUUUUGUGUUGCUGUUUUCUGAAUUUGCUGUCUGUGAGUUUAAAUGGCAGAAGUUAUUACAGUAAUAUUUCUGAAAGGGAUAACAAACAGGCUCCAAAAGAAAGAGUCUUUUUAUUUAUUUUAUAAUGCAAAAGUAAAGAAACAAACAAUCACUUAUGUUGCAAACCCAUUUGUUCUUAUCCUAUAAAGUCUGUAGGUGUAUUAUUGUAUAACGCUUUUACUUUAUAAAGGAUGCCAACCAUUGCUUCUUUAAAGUCUGUAUUAAAUUCAACGCAGCAGCACGGAAGGAGGAAAAGAAAAGCCAAAAGCCGAAAAUGACCUCGAGAACGUCUUGUAGCUCAGCGACUGCUUUGGUUUGUCCGUGACAAUAUGCCAGAAAUCAUAAUAUUACCAUCAGUCAAAUUAGGGAGAGAGCUAUUAGACAUCUAGUUAUAAUAAUUUGGGUGUGUUCAUGUGUGUGGGAAGGUGAGGUGGUCUCUGCAUGAAGGGAAACCACGGCCUGAUCCACAAAAGUGGAAGAGCAAAUAUGCAUAUAAAGAUUUAUAUAUACAUUGGAUGUCUUUUUAACUGUGGGUGUGUGUGUGUGUGUGAGAGAGAGAUGGAGAGAAAUAAAGGC
ensembl:lncRNA